UGAGACGAGCGGCAAAACACCGCCGCCUGAGAAUAUUUCGAUAAGCUUGUGCGCAUGCCCAAAUUGAUACCGAUCUUGUUUCGAUGCCCAUUGAAGUUUUUUUUUUGUUUGCAAAUUAGUUUUUGCGAAAAUUUAUUGGUUUGGACAAAACAAAUGAAAAAUGUUUGUGACUUAUUGAAAAUCGAGCAUAGAGCAUGUAUCCUUCUUUGAGAAAAUAUUUAGUUAAAAUGUAGCUACACUGGUAUUUGACUGUCAUCCUUCCAGUAAGUACGUAUUUAUGUACCUGAUUAUCGAGCUUUGACCCUGCGAGGCUGUUUUAGCUGGAUAGUGCAAAGGGUAAAGGCCAAAAACUCUUGCUGCACCGGGCGCCUGGCACCAGUUUAUCACACCAUAAAGCAAGUGGGAGCCAAUUAGAGCAUGAUGUGCUAUCCAUAAUAUGCUACAACAACGCCAGCCAACCAUUCAAAAGGGAUUCAGGAAGGUUGUGGAUGUAUAUGAGAAAAAGGGUAGGUUCCAUUAUUGAGCCCUGUACAACCCCAUUUCUCACUGCUAAUGUACUCGAAGUUUUAUUAUAGGCUUCGGCCCAAGAUGUCAAAAUUGUAAUAUAUUUUUUUUUUGGAGUAGAGUGGUCCACAUAGUCGAAUGCUUUAGUAAUAUCGCUGGUUCUUUCCCAUUAAUGCACUUAGCGGCUAAACACCGCUAACUGACACUUCGCUAUUAAGUGAACCAGUUGCGUUUGAAAUUAUUGACCAUUUUAAACAGAGCUCUUCACUCUUUCGUGUUUCUCACAUUACAAUAAAAAUAAAAUAAAUCAGUUCACUCCUUUGGAAAAUUUAUUGUUUCACAGUUUAUCAUUUCCAAACAUGCGAUCAUAAAAUUGUACGCUGAUGUGGGCAGCGGCUAUUUUAUAAAUACAACUUACAAAAAUAUCGACGCUUCGUUUGUUUGU